rnacentral:rRNA from 1 species
AUAACGACUCUCGGCAACGGAUAUCUCGGCUCUCGCAUCGUAAAAAACGCAGCGAAAUGCGAUACUUGGUGUGAAUUGCAGAAUCCCGUGAACCAUCGAGUCUUUGAACGCAAGUUGCGCCCGAAGCCAUUUGGCCGAGGGCACGUCUGCCUGGGCGUCACGC